rnacentral:rRNA from 1 species
CCUUUUGUAUAAUGGGUCAGCGACUUAUAUUCUGUAGCAAGGUUAACCGAAUAGGGGAGCCGAAGGGAAACCGAGUCUUAACUGGGCGUUAAGUUGCAGGGUAUAGACCCGAAACCCGGUGAUCUAGCCAUGGGCAGGUUGAAGGUUGGGUAACACUAACUGGAGGACCGAACCGACUAAUGUUGAAAAAUUAGCGGAUGACUUGUGGCUGGGGGUGAAAGGCCAAUCAAACCGGGAGAUAGCUGGUUCUCCCCGAAAGCUAUUUAGGUAGCGCCUCGUGAAUUCAUCUCCGGGGGUAGAGCACUGUUUCGGCAAGGGGGUCAUCCCGACUUACCAACCCGAUGCAAACUGCGAAUACCGGAGAAUGUUAUCACGGGAGACACACGGCGGGUGCUAACGUCCGUCGUGAAGAGGGAAACAACCCAGACCGCCAGCUAAGGUCCCAAAGUCAUGGUUAAGUGGGAAACGAUGUGGGAAGGCCCAGACAGCCAGGAUGUUGGCUUAGAAGCAGCCAUCAUUUAAAGAAAGCGUAAUAGCUCACUGGUCGAGUCGGCCUGCGCGGAAGAUGUAACGGGGCUAAACCAUGCACCGAAGCUGCGGCAGCGACGCUUAUGCGUUGUUGGGUAGGGGAGCGUUCUGUAAGCCUGUGAAGGUGUGCUGUGAGGCAUGCUGGAGGUAUCAGAAGUGCGAAUGCUGACAUAAGUAACGAUAAAGCGGGUGAAAAGCCCGCUCGCCGGAAGACCAAGGGUUCCUGUCCAACGUUAAUCGGGGCAGGGUGAGUCGACCCCUAAGGCGAGGCCGAAAGGCGUAGUCGAUGGGAAACAGGUUAAUAUUCCUGUACUUGGUGUUACUGCGAAGGGGGGACGGAGAAGGCUAUGUUGGCCGGGCGACGGUUGUCCCGGUUUAAGCGUGUAGGCUGGUUUUCCAGGCAAAUCCGGAAAAUCAAGGCUGAGGCGUGAUGACGAGGCACUACGGUGCUGAAGCAACAAAUGCCCUGCUUCCAGGAAAAGCCUCUAAGCAUCAGGUAACAUCAAAUCGUACCCCAAACCGACACAGGUGGUCAGGUAGAGAAUACCAAGGCGCUUGAGAGAACUCGGGUGAAGGAACUAGGCAAAAUGGUGCCGUAACUUCGGGAGAAGGCACGCUGAUAUGUAGGUGAAGUCCCUCGCGGAUGGAGCUGAAAUCAGUCGAAGAUACCAGCUGGCUGCAACUGUUUAUUAAAAACACAGCACUGUGCAAACACGAAAGUGGACGUAUACGGUGUGACGCCUGCCCGGUGCCGGAAGGUUAAUUGAUGGGGUCAGCGCAAGCGAAGCUCUUGAUCGAAGCCCCGGUAAACGGCGGCCGUAACUAUAACGGUCCUAAGGUAGCGAAAUUCCUUGUCGGGUAAGUUCCGACCUGCACGAAUGGCGUAAUGAUGGCCAGGCUGUCUCCACCCGAGACUCAGUGAAAUUGAACUCGCUGUGAAGAUGCAGUGUACCCGCGGCAAGACGGAAAGACCCCGUGAACCUUUACUAUAGCUUGACACUGAACAUUGAGCCUUGAUGUGUAGGAUAGGUGGGAGGCUUAGAAGUGUGGACGCCAGUCUGCAUGGAGCCGACCUUGAAAUACCACCCUUUAAUGUUUGAUGUUCUAACGUUGACCCGUAAUCCGGGUUGCGGACAGUGUCUGGUGGGUAGUUUGACUGGGGCGGUCUCCUCCUAAAGAGUAACGGAGGAGCACGAAGGUUGGCUAAUCCUGGUCGGACAUCAGGAGGUUAGUGCAAUGGCAUAAGCCAGCUUGACUGCGAGCGUGACGGCGCGAGCAGGUGCGAAAGCAGGUCAUAGUGAUCCGGUGGUUCUGAAUGGAAGGGCCAUCGCUCAACGGAUAAAAGGUACUCCGGGGAUAACAGGCUGAUACCGCCCAAGAGUUCAUAUCGACGGCGGUGUUUGGCACCUCGAUGUCGGCUCAUCACAUCCUGGGGCUGAAGUAGGUCCCAAGGGUAUGGCUGUUCGCCAUUUAAAGUGGUACGCGAGCUGGGUUUAGAACGUCGUGAGACAGUUCGGUCCCUAUCUGCCGUGGGCGCUGGAGAACUGAGGGGGGCUGCUCCUAGUACGAGAGGACCGGAGUGGACGCAUCACUGGUGUUCGGGUUGUCAUGCCAAUGGCACUGCCCGGUAGCUAAAUGCGGAAGAGAUAAGUGCUGAAAGCAUCUAAGCACGAAACUUGCCCCGAGAUGAGUUCUCCCUGACCCUUUAAGGGUCCUGAAGGAACGUUGAAGACGACGACGUUGAUAGGCCGGGUGUGUAAGCGCAGCGAUGCGUUGAGCUAACCGGUACUAAUGAACCGUGAGGCUUAACCUU